rnacentral:rRNA from 1 species
GGGUUGUGAGGUUAAGCGACUAAGCGUACACGGUGGAUGCCCUGGCAGUCAGAGGCGAUGAAGGACGUGCUAAUCUGCGAUAAGCGUCGGUAAGGUGAUAUGAACCGUUAUAACCGGCGAUUUCCGAAUGGGGAAACCCAGUGUGUUUCGACACACUAUCAUUAACUGAAUCCAUAGGUUAAUGAGGCGAACCGGGGGAACUGAAACAUCUAAGUACCCCGAGGAAAAGAAAUCAACCGAGAUUCCCCCAGUAGCGGCGAGCGAACGGGGAGCAGCCCAGAGCCUGAAUCAGUGUGUGUGUUAGUGGAAGCGUCUGGAAAGGCGCGCGAUACAGGGUGACAGCCCCGUACACAAAAAUGCACAUGCUGUGAGCUCGAUGAGUAGGGCGGGACACGUGGGAUCCUGUCUGAAUAUGGGGGGACCAUCCUCCAAGGCUAAAUACUCCUGACUGACCGAUAGUGAACCAGUACCGUGAGGGAAAGGCGAAAAGAACCCCGGCGAGGGGAGUGAAAAAGAACCUGAAACCGUGUACGUACAAGCAGUGGGAGCACAGAGCAAUCUG